rnacentral:misc_RNA from 1 species
CGAUCCAGAACAGCUAGCGAGAGUUGAUUUUCUCAAGGCGGAGUUAGCGAAGCUACAGGCUGAAUGCAAUGAGGAGCAGGCUGAAAUUGACUCUAAGCGCAGACGGCGAGAUCAGCACAUCGCCAUAGAGAUAGAGCAUCGAAACGAAGGGCGACGGCUAAGACGAGAUGAUAUCGAGUGGGGAUAAAAGAAACCCCCGGCUGAGCCUGAGGCCGGGGGAAUGGCUCUAAACGCCUUCCAAGUAGAGCGCGUAGAGAGUCAUGAUCUGUUGUUGAGAUAAGAAAAACCCGCUCAGGACACAAAGAGCGGGGCAAAAAAGAGUUAUAGGUGAUUCUACAUGAUCGCACACGAAAGCAACGGCACGGCGACAGAGGAAUACAACGUUAUCAGCAUCUACGAUGACGGUGCUAUAUACGCAACCCAGGAAGAAUACGCUAGUGAAAUUCGCAAGUACCGAACUGAGAUACCCAACAUCGUAUUUGAGAAGGGUCUCACUGGAGAUCAGAUUGCCCUGUACG